rnacentral:tRNA from 1 species
CGAAUUAGCUCAGUCGGUAGAGCACGACUCUUACAGAAGUGGUAUCGUGUGGUCGAAGGUUCGAUCCCCUCAUUC